UCCACAAAAUAGUUGUGAGAAUUAAAUGAGAUAAUCAUAUAAAGUAUCUGCACAGAUCCUAGACCAAAUGUUCAAUAAAAAGCAGUCAUUAUUUUAUCCUUUCUUUCUUUUUUCUGUGAGACUGGCUUUCCUUCACUGUGACUGAUGAGACACUAACCAAGCUGGGGGAUCAAACAAGGGAUGCUUCACCAAGGGCUGCCGGCUCCUGACUCAGGCCACUGUUGUUAGUCUCCCCUGGCUCCCUCCAAACACCACCUGCCCCUGGGCUUCUGAGCUCACACAAACCACUGUCCCUGCCGCCCUCACCUGCCCAGUGCCUCCGGUGGCCAAGGUAGGUCUGGCAUCCUACCUCGCCACCCCCUGGGUGGGUGGAAUCAGACAUGUCUUUGGAGUGUCACAGUGAGAGAGUUUUAAUAAAAAAUGGUGAUGGAAUGUUUGGGGGAAGGUG
rnacentral:lncRNA from 1 species